rnacentral:tRNA from 1 species
GGAGAGGUGUCCGAGUGGCCUAAGGAGCACGCUUGGAAAGCGUGUGUACGGUUUCCGUACCGCGGGUUCGAAUCCCGCCCUCUCCG